rnacentral:rRNA from 1 species
GAAGGAUCAUUAAUGAAACUUCAAAGUCGGCCAAAGGUUGUUGCUGGUGAUUAUUCACAUGUGCACGCCUUUGGUCGCAAAUCCACACACACCUGUGCAUCUAUGACUCGAGGUUGUAAUGACUGAGAGUAACUUUUAUACACUCUUGUAUGUAAUGGAAUGUCUUUUUGUGCUAUAAUGUACAAUAUAAACAACUUUCAACAACGGAUCUCUUGGCUCUCGCAUCGAUGAAGAACGCAGCGAAAUGCGAUAAGUAAUGUGAAUUGCAGAAUUCAGUGAAUCAUCGAAUCUUUGAACGCACCUUGCACCCUUUGGUAUUCCGAAGGGUAYGCCCGUUUGAGUGUCAUUGUAAUCUCACUUCUACAACUUUAUUGUUGUUUGAAUGUGGACUUGGAUGUUGCCGUUUUAUCACGGCUCGUCUUAAAUGCCUGAGUGUACCCUGUUUUGCAGCGUAUCCAGUGUAAUAAACAUUUCACUAGAGUUGGUCGAAAGACCGCGUUGACUAUAUGGGCUCUAUGCUUCAAACCGUCUGCCAUGUGGACAAUUUCUUGACAAUUUGACCUCAAAUCGGGUGGGACUACCCGCUGAACUUAAGCAUAUCAAUAAGCGGAGGAAAAGAAACUAACAAGGAUUCCCCUAGUAACGGCGAGUGAAGAGGGAAAAGCUCAAAUUUUAAAUCUGGUGUCUUUGACUCCCGAGUUGUAAUCUAGAGAAGUGUUUUCCGUGUCGGACCGUGUACAAGUUCCCUGGAACGGGGCGUCAUAGAGGGUGAGAAUCCCGUAUAUGCCACGGACUACCGAUGCUCUGUGAUACACUCUCAACGAGUCGAGUUGUUUGGGAAUGCAGCUCAAAAUGGGUGGUAAAUUCCAUCUAAAGCUAAAUAUUGGYGAGAGACCGAUAGCGAACAAGUACCGUGAGGGAAAGAUGAAAAGCACUUUGGAAAGAGAGUGAAACAGUACGUGAAAUUGUUGAAAGGGAAGCGUUUGAAGUCAGUCGCAUCUGUUGGGGUUCASCCUGGCUUUUGCCUGGUGUAUUUCCUUUCCGAUGGGUCAGCAUCAGUUUCGACCGAGGGAAAAAGACAUUUGGAAUGUGGCUGUCUUCGGGCAGUGUUAUAGCCUUGUGUUGUAUGUCUCGGUUGGGACUGAGGAUUGCAGCGCGCC